UUUAAACAUCAUUAAGGUUAAUUCUCAAUCAAACUCGUGGGCUCAUGGGCUCAUUUUCCUUCACCUCCUCUUAACGACCUUUGUUCCUCAGGCUUCUGAUCUCAUUUUCCCUGGUUGACUGUGUCCUUCCAGUUGUUUGAAUUACCAUCCGUUUUGCUGAUGACUUGGGAAGGCAUGUUGAUUCAGUAUACAGCACCUCCGGCCCUGAACAGACUCUGCGAGGGCACGGAUCUCCAAGGAUUGCUAUUUAUUUGCUAAGCACGUAUCAGAAUUGGACGGCGGUUGUCCCUGGGGGUCUUCGUUAUCUAAAGCAAAGUAAAAAACACCUCGAGGGAGUCUUUAAUUUUUAUUGUCAUGAAGAAAAUUAAAAAUAAUUGAGAAUG